AUAAAAGCUUUACAGGCACGCCACACAGAACGGGUGUACCAAUUGAUGAUCUUAUAGAGCACAGGAAGCAACAUGAGGACUUUGCUUGCUCUCCUCGUGAUCUGCGUCGUUGUAGCGGUCGCCUACGGUGGUCUCAUAAGCCACCUUAAAGCCAAGAAGUACGGUCGUCAUUUCGGCCACGGUGGAUACGGUGGACACGGUGGAUACGGUGGAGGCUACGGUGGCGGAUACGGUGGCUCGUAUGGUGGAUCCUACGGCGGUUCUUACGGCGGCUCGUACGGUGGUGGCUACGGGGGCGGUUUCUGGGGAUGAACCCAACGCUUCGACUCCGACUUCCUGACCUUGACACGAUUCCAACCAGGUACCUGACCGUUGAGUCGAUGCUCUGCGAUUCCAUUGCAGCCUAAAAGUCUCAUCCCAUUUACACCAAUGAACAAAUCAGUAUUUAAGUUGAAUAAAAGUUUAAAUAUAAUG